rnacentral:rRNA from 1 species
CUUUCUCCGCCGGCGACCGGCGCACGGGUGAGUAACACGUAUGCAACCUGCCCCUGUCAGGGGGACAACCCGCCGAAAGGCGGGCUAAACCCGCGUACAUGCCACCGGGGCAUCCCGGAGGCAGGAAAGGCUUCGGCCGGACACGGAUGGGCAUGCGGCGCAUUAGCUAGUCGGCGGGGUAACGGCCCACCGAGGCGACGAUGCGUAGGGGUUCUGAGAGGAAGGCCCCCCACACUGGUACUGAGACACGGACCAGACUCCUACGGGAGGCAGCAG